UAUUGUUAACCAUAAUAAACUGCUGGCAAUAUUUGGUAAGGUGUACAUAUGCCACAUUUUUUUUUUGCCUGUAUUCAAGCUGUGAAUUUAGUCUCUUUUAUCUAGCUGUAAUGAAGUGUGUUUGUUCUGCUCACAUGUUUCCUGAGCUCUUGGCUGCCGGACACGUGGUCAUGGAGCAACUAUCAGACAGAGUGCUGAAGAAGAGGGUUAUGUGCUGGAAAAACGACACCGCUGGAAGAGAUGGCCGUGCGGCAGGGCAGAGAGGGUCAGGAGGUCGAGAUCAGUGAUGCGUCUGGACAGGAAAUGAUCUUUCAGGUGUCGUCUGGUUAAGGAUGGCAGAGACACAAUGCUCUACUUGGAUGUGUAGGAAGUUAUUCCAGGAG